CUUUCCCUCUGGCGGCAUGCCUUACACAUGCAAGUCGAACGGUAACGGGCCUUCGGGUGCCGACGAGUGGCGAAAGGGUGAGUAAUACAUCGGAACGUGCCCGAUCGUGGGGGAUAACGAGGCGAAAGCUUUGCUAAUACCGCAUACGAUCUACUGAUUAAAGCAGGGGACCGCAAGGCCUGACGCGGGCGGAGCGGCCGAUGGCAGAUUAGGUAGUUGGUGGGAUAAAAGCUUACCAAGCCGACGAUCUGUAGCUGGCCUGAGAGGAUGAUCAGCCACACUGGGACUGAGACACGGCCCAGACUCCUACGGGAGGCAGCAGUGGGGAAUUUUGGACAAUGGGCGCAAGCCUGAUCCAGCCAUGCCGCGUGCAGGAUGAAGGCCUUCGGGUUGUAAACUGCUUUUGUACGGAACGAAAAGCCUUCUUUUAAUACAGGAGGGUCAUGACGGUACCGGAAGAAUAAGCACCGGCUAACUACGUG
rnacentral:rRNA from 1 species